UACGUAGGGGGCAAGCGUUGUCCGGAUUUAUUGGGCGUAAAGAGCGUGUAGGCGGCUAGAUAGGUCCGUUGUGAAAACUGGAGGCUCAACCUCCAGCUGUCGAUGGAAACCAUCUGGCUAGAGUCCGGAAGAGGAGAGUGGAAUUCCUGGUGUAGCGGUGAAAUGCGCAGAUAUCAGGAGGAACACCUAUAGCGAAGGCAGCUUGCUGGGACGUUACUGACGCUAAGGCGCGAAAGCGUGGGGAGCGAACAGG
rnacentral:rRNA from 1 species